rnacentral:rRNA from 1 species
ACUCAAAGGAAUUGACGGGGGCCCGCACAAGCGGUGGAGCAUGUGGCUUAAUUCGAUGCAACGCGAAGAACCUUACCUGGGCUUGACAUGUAACUGCAAAUCCGGUGAAAGCCGGACUCCUUCGAGGGUGUUACACAGGUGCUGCAUGGCUGUCGUCAGCUCGUGCCGUGAGGUGUUAGGUUAAGUCCUGCAACGAGCGCAACCCUUGUGAUUAGUUGCUACACGCGCAAGCGAAGCACUCUAGUCAGACUGCCUGUGAUAAGCAGGAGGAAGGUGGGGAUGACGUCAAGUCAGUAUGGUCCUUAUGCCCAGGGCUGCACACGUGCUACAAUGAACGGUACAGAGGGAUCCGAAACCGCGAGGCGAAGGAAAUCCCGUAAAACCGUUCUCAGUUCAGAUUGGAGUCUGCAACUCGACUCCAUGAAGCUGGAAUCGCUAGUAAUGGCGCAUCAGCUACGGCGCCGUGAAUACGUUCCCGGGCCUUGUACACACCGCCCGU